AAUAUUAUGCCUGAUUUAAAAGGAAUAAAUUGUAAAUUUAUUAAUGGAAUUAGAUUUUCUAAUAUUA
rnacentral:tRNA from 1 species